GAUCCACAAAGGCCCAAUAUAUUGGUCAAAUGUAUACAUCAAUUACUUGAAAAAAUAUGGCCCAAAAUUAGUCAAUAAAUUCGUCCAAGAUCAGCUCCUAUUUAUGAAUUGAAAUCAGCAAAUUUUCUCAUUUUAACUUAGACAAAAUUUCCAGCUUUCUAUGUUUUUCUCUCUUGUUCUCUCUUGGCUAUGAAACAACCCUAUAAUUCCACAAGGGUUCUUGGGAUUGACCUUCCUUCCAAGCGAAAGGGAUUAAGCUAUUGAGGAAAUACACAUUAAGAUACUAAAAUAUCAAGGAAAUUAAGAUAAGUAAUCUAAAAGUGCGGGAAGUCGAGUUGGGCUGGUAUUGGAGUUUUACAACCAGGCACAAGUGCUUCCUAGGAGCCCAGGAUAUCCAUCUACUAUUGGUGAGCUCCAGUUUGCUUCGGGUCUUUUCGAGUUGGUUCUAUAUAUUUUUGGUAUUGUAUAAAAGUUAAUAGUAUGACGGGGUUUUGUCCCGACCUUAGCUAAAUUUUGUGUAUCGUCUAGAGGCUUUGUAGACCAAUGUAAAGUUAAGCAUGGUAGUGUGUUAUCUUGUAGAUGUUAUGGCCCCAACGGCCAAGUCUAUUAUGUAUAUAGUUUUAGUGCUUGUCGUUUAUAUUUUUUUUCAUUAAGGAAUUAUAUCCGUAUAUGGAAAAACCUUUGCCUAUUAUAGUUGCAUGCAUGUGAAUUCCAAGGUUAUAGGUUGGUUCUCUCGGGCCUUCACGGCUACAGGUGCCUGUUCCCCUCAAAAGGAUUUGAGGCGUGACAAAAGUGGUAUCAGAGCGAGUCAUCCUAGGGAGUCUACA